rnacentral:sRNA from 1 species
CCAGCGCAGCUCUUAUCCCCGCAGACGGGGGCCGAGACAGGUAGCGGGAAGCCUGGCCUCGGAGGCGGCAGUGUCCUGGGCGCCUCUCCGGCUGCUGUUGUAUGGCUGCACGUUGGCGCUGCCGGGCGGGAUGCUGUGUCCCCGGGAGAGCCCGUCGUGGGAGCUCAAGUAGCUGGACGGCCUCUGAAGCUUCCGCGCCGACUUCUCCGACAACCGACGCCGGGGCUUCGAGGAGCAGAGUCAGGCCCCACCUUGGACAUGCGGGUUCCCUCCGGCUUCAACGACAUCGGCCGGGCUGGCGGCUGCGGUAUUUUGUCAGCUGGGUGUGGUAUGAACGGGAGGUGACCCUGCUGGAGCGAUGGAUCCAGGACCUGCGCACAAGAGUGUUGCUGAGGAUUGGCAGUGCCCACUUCUAUGCCAUCGUGAUAUCCCAAGGGUUACUUUGUCCAGAACACAGACUUUGACUUCUUCAACUACGCGGGACUGCUGUGGUCUCUGCUUCUAUACACGACACCCACCACCUACAUCGACAAUGUCACCAUCACCACCGGCGUGGAGCGAGACAGUAGUGAGGGCUUCUGGACUGGAUGGAGGACCUGAAGACAUGUGAGGUUGAUGCACAGGUAGAAGAGAGAUUCUCACCAUCACUGAUUCACACAAAAGCAUUUCUCCAAGUGGUUGUGGAUGACAUGAUUUCCCAAAGUGUUAGAGCUGAAGUGUGUUUCCUUGUGUGUAAUACUGGGUUCCUUUAUCCCUUCAUCUGUGGAUACACAG